rnacentral:rRNA from 1 species
CCUACGGGAGGCAGCAGUGGGGAAUAUUGCACAAUGGGGGAAACCCUGAUGCAGCGACGCCGCGUGAGUGAGGAAGGAUUGCGGGAUGUAAAGCUCUAGCAGCAGGGAAGAAAAGGACGGUACCUGACUAAGAAGCCCGGCUAACUACGUGCCAGCAGCCGCGGUAAUACGUAGGGGGCAAGCGUUAUCCGGAUUUACUGGGUGUAACGGGAGCGUAGACGGCUAAUCAAGUCAGAAGGGAAAACCCAGGGCUCAACCUUGGGACUGCUUUUGAAACUGAGUAGCUAGAGUGCAGGAGAGGUAAGCGGAAUUCCUCGUGUAGCGGUGAAAUGCGUAGAUAUUAGGAGGAACACCGGUGGCGAAGGCGGCUUACUGGACUGUACCUGCCGUUGAGGCUCGAAAGCGUGGGGAGCAAACAGGAUUAGAUACCCUGGUAGUC